GAGCCCUAAAAACAGGUUUUGUUAUACUGGAAGUUUCUUGACAGAAUAACAAAACAGUAUCCAUAUAUCUGUCACAACACAAGGCAGGUCUGCCAGGAAAAAUACACGGGCUAUUCACUUGAAGAAAUAAAAAAAGAAGCGCAGAAAUCUCUGAAACAUCUGAUUUCCCCUUCUCCAUGGAAAAAUGUGCUGGGUCAUUUUAACGCUGGGUUAUUUUUUUCUGCCUAACCACUGGGUUGACCUUGUCUCUGGUGAAACUUCUCAACAAUGUUGCUGCUGAGAGCACAGGCCUUUUAAGUCCACAGGAGAGAGCAGUUCUCUGUGUCGCCACCACCGAUUUGAUGCACUUUUUCCGGGAAAUAAAGGCUUUGGAGUCAGUCAUGCCAUCUCUCAGCUACGAGUGAAAUGCAAGGCCGCGGUCUAAAGUUCACAGUUCCCCUCAAACAGCAGCCCUUGACCAGCUCAAAUUUCGGCAACAAACCGGCACAAGAAUUAGCACUAUUUCGGUAAAAAGCGAUUACAGAGAAUGGUUGAAUACACUUAAAUUAAAAGUGCCCUUUUAUUUCUAAAAUGCUUGUUAAAGGAGUUUAAAUGUAUGUAAUAUUGUAACUAUGCUGUAUUCACCCAAAUUAAUUCAAUUUGUCUUGUAUUUUGUCCAUGGGUGUUCUUGCUUAAUAAUAAAUAUUCAUCUUUUGGUUA
ensembl:lncRNA